CCUACGGGUGGCUGCAGUGAGGAAUAUUGGUCAAUGGGCGCGAGCCUGAACCAGCCAAGUAGCGUGAAGGAUGACUGCCCUACGGGUUGUAAACUUCUUUUAUAAAGGAAUAAAGUGAGGCACGUGUGCCUUUUUGUAUGUACUUUAUGAAUAAGGAUCGGCUAACUCCGUUCCAGCAGCCGCGGUAAUACGGAGGAUCCGACCGUUAUCCGGAUUUAUUGGGUUUAAAGGGAGCGUAGAUGGGUUGUUAAGUCAGUUGUGAAAGUUUGCGGCUCAACCGUAAAAUUGCAAUUGAUACUGGCAGACUUGAGUACAGUUGAGGUAGGCGGAAUUCGAGGUGUAGCGGUGAAAUGCGUAGAUAUAACGAAGAACACCGAUUGCGAAGGCAGCUUACUAAACUGCCACUGACAUUGAUGCUCGAAAGUGUGGGUAUCAAACAGGAUUAGAUACCCGGGUAGUC
rnacentral:rRNA from 1 species